rnacentral:rRNA from 1 species
UACGAAGGGGGCUAGCGUUGUUCGGAAUUACUGGGUGUAAAGGGCGCGUAGGCGGCGUGUCAAGUCAGGCGUGAAAGCCCCGGGCUCAACCUGGGAACCGCGCUUGAGACUGGCAUGCUCGAGUUCGGGAGAGGAUGGUGGAAUUCCCAGUGUAGAGGUGAAAUUCGUAGAUAUUGGGAAGAACACCGAUGGCGAAGGCAGCCAUCUGGACCGACACUGACGCUGAGGCGCGAAAGCGUGGGGAGCAAACAGG